GUCGAUGGCCAUACCACCCUGAACGCACCCAGUCUGGUCUGACCUGAGAAGCUAAGCAGGGUCGGUCCUGAUUCAUACUUGGGUGGGAGAAAGCAUGCAGUCAGCAAAU
rnacentral:rRNA from 1 species